GUAAGGCCUCUCGCUGCAAGCUAAAACUCGAGCAAGACUCAAGUAGAUGGGGAUGGAGCGGGUGGAUGACGUGUAGAAGAAGGAAGAUGAAGAUAGUCGUUAUCAACUGUUUGCUCGGCUGUCUGUGCACAUACUUCACGUUUACUUUUGCAACCGAAAUAACUAUAAAUAGUCUGCUUUAAUCUCGCACUUCACACAGCGCACCGCGUAUACGCUAAGGAGCAGACGCUGCGAGACGUGGAAGACAAGAGGGAAGACGCAGUGCAAUUCCUGUCGAUUAGUCGAUGACUAAUCACAAACCUUGGUCUGUGAGAACAAGAAGAGACCUUAUUUGACGGUUGGUGAUUCUGGUUUACCUCACUC